GAUGAUCUUAUGGAAACAGAAUGUGGUACCCGAAAAAGUCCUGAACACUCAAGUGGUAAUGGCUACUCUCCAUCAAUUGAUGUACAGCAAGCACCUGUCCAGAUAAAUAAUGGAGCCACUAAGGACCACGCAUCUUUAUCAAAUGAGCAGACAAUUGCGAAGGCAAGAAAAAGCUACGAGUUCAAAUCAUACCUGAACCAACUUGGAAAGAAGUUCAAGCCGUGAGUGGAAAGGAGAAAUAAGGGGCACAAAAAGAUAUAUUUUAGUUGUUAGAGAAAAAUCCUAGAAAUAUUUGUAUGAUACUGCUACUUUCUAUGUUUCUGUAAGAACAAAUUCGUCUUGUUCAAUAUACUUUA